rnacentral:tRNA from 1 species
GGGGAUAUAGCUCAGUCAGGUAGAGCACGUAUUACUCUGUUAAAUGUUCUCUUGUAUCAUAUACAAGUAGUGAUGAAUAGAGUUACUUCAGCCUUUUAAGCUCGUGGUCAUAGGUUCAAAUCCUGUUAUCCCCA